AGUCGAGGGGUAUAGUUCUUCGGAAUUAGAGACCGGCGCACGGGUGCGUAACGCGUAUGCAAUCUACCUUUCACAAAGGGAUAGCCCAGAGAAAUUUGGAUUAAUACCUUAUAGUAUAUAUGAAUGGCAUCAUUUAUAUAUUAAAGAUUUAUCGGUGAAAGAUGAGCAUGCGUCCCAUUAGCUAGUUGGUAAGGUAACGGCUUACCAAGGCAACGAUGGGUAGGGGUCCUGAGAGGGAGAUCCCCCACACUGGUACUGAGACACGGACCAGACUCCUACGGGAGGCAGCAGUGAGGAAUAUUGGACAAUGGGCGCAAGCCUGAUCCAGCCAUGCCGCGUGCAGGAUGACGGUCCUAUGGAUUGUAAACUGCUUUUAUACGAGAAGAAACACUCCGACGUGUCGGAGCUUGACGGUAUCGUAAGAAUAAGGAUCGGCUAACUCCGUGCCAGCAGCCGCGGUAAUACGGAGGAUCCAAGCGUUAUCCGGAAUCAUUGGGUUUAAAGGGUCCGUAGGCGGUCAGGUAAGUCAGUGGUGAAAGCCCAUCGCUCAACGGUGGAACGGCCAUUGAUACUGUCUGACUUGAAUUAUUAGGAAGUAACUAGAAUAUGUAGUGUAGCGGUGAAAUGCUUAGAGAUUACAUGGAAUACCAAUUGCGAAGGCAGGUUACUACUAAUGGAUUGACGCUGAUGGACGAAAGCGUGGGUAGCG
rnacentral:rRNA from 1 species